UUCCCUCUCAGCAACUUAGGUGAGUUAGCCCAAGUGUCCACAGGUUGUGGCUUCACCUGAUUGGAAGCCUAUAAGGGAGACUGAGUCAGAGCUUGGUCCACAGUCCCACCUGGGGUACCAGAUUUGUUACCCCCAAAAUACCAGGGUUCACUCACCUCAUGAAUAACAAAG